AGAGUUUGAUCAUGGCUCAGAGCGAACGCUGGCGGCAGGCUUAACACAUGCAAGUCGAGCGGGCGUAGCAAUACGUCAGCGGCAGACGGGUGAGUAACGCGUGGGAACGUACCUUUUGGUUCGGAACAACCCAGGGAAACUUGGGCUAAUACCGGAUAAGCCCUUCGGGGGAAAGAUUUAUCGCCGAAAGAUCGGCCCGCGUCUGAUUAGCUAGUUGGUGAGGUAACGGCUCACCAAGGCGACGAUCAGUAGCUGGUCUGAGAGGAUGAUCAGCCACAUUGGGACUGAGACACGGCCCAAACUCCUACGGGAGGCAGCAGUGGGGAAUAUUGGACAAUGGGCGCAAGCCUGAUCCAGCCAUGCCGCGUGAGUGAUGAAGGCCCUAGGGUUGUAAAGCUCUUUUGUGCGGGGAAGAUAAUGACGGUACCGCAAGAAUAAGCCCCGGCUAACUUCGUGCCAGCAGCCGCGGUAAUACGAAGGGGGCUAGCGUUGCUCGGAAUCACUGGGCGUAAAGGGUGCGUAGGCGGGUCUUUAAGUCAGGGGUGAAAUCCUGGAGCUCAACUCCAGAACUGCCUUUGAUACUGAAGAUCUUGAGUUCGGGAGAGGUGAGUGGAACUGCGAGUGUAGAGGUGAAAUUCGUAGAUAUUCGCAAGAACACCAGUGGCGAAGGCGGCUCACUGGCCCGAUACUGACGCUGAGGCACGAAAGCGUGGGGAGCAAACAGGAUUAGAUACCCUAGUAGUCC
rnacentral:rRNA from 1 species